rnacentral:rRNA from 1 species
CAGUCGCCGCGGGAAUACGUAGGUGGCAAGCGUUGUCCGGAAUUAUUGGGCGUAAAAGGCUCGCAGGCGGUUUCUUAAGUCUGAUGUGAAAGCCCCCGGCUCAACCGGGGAGGGUCAUUGGAAACUGGGAAACUUGAGUGCAGAAGAGGAGAGUGGAAUUCCACGUGUAGCGGUGAAAUGCGUAGAGAUGUGGAGGGACACCAGUGGCGAAGGCGACUCUCUGGUCUGUAACUGACGCUGAGGAGCGAAAGCGUGGGGAGCGAACAGGAUUAGAUACCCCGGUAGUCCCUGUCUCUUAUAC